rnacentral:rRNA from 1 species
GAUGAACGCUGGCGGCGUGCCUAAUACAUGCAAGUCGAGCGAACAGAUAAGGAGCUUGCUCCUUUGACGUUAGCGGCGGACGGGUGAGUAACACGUGGGUAACCUACCUAUAAGACUGGGAUAACUUCGGGAAACCGGAGCUAAUACCGGAUAAUAUUUCGAACCGCAUGGUUCGAUAGUGAAAGAUGGUUUUGCUAUCACUUAUAGAUGGACCCGCGCCGUAUUAGCUAGUUGGUAAGGUAACGGCUUACCAAGGCGACGAUACGUAGCCGACCUGAGAGGGUGAUCGGCCACACUGGAACUGAGACACGGUCCAGACUCCUACGGGAGGCAGCAGUGGGGAAUCUUCCGCAAUGGGCGAAAGCCUGACGGAGCAACGCCGCGUGAGUGAUGAAGGUCUUCGGAUCGUAAAACUCUGUUAUUAGGGAAGAACAUACGUGUAAGUAACUGUGCACGUCUUGACGGUACCUAAUCAGAAAGCCACGGCUAACUACGUG